UACGGAGGGUGCAAGCGUUAUCCGGAUUCACUGGGUUUAAAGGGUGUGUAGGCGGGCUGUUAAGUCAGUGGUGAAAUCUCCGGGCUCAACCCGGAAACUGCCAUUGAUACUAUCAGUCUUGAAUAUCGUUGAGGUGGGCAGAAUAUGUCAUGUAGCGGUGAAAUGCAUAGAGAUCGGUAGGAACACCAGUGGCGAAGGCGGUCUCCUGGGGCUCACUUGGACGCUGAUGCGCGAAAGCUGGGGGAGCAAACGGG
rnacentral:rRNA from 1 species